rnacentral:rRNA from 1 species
UACGGGGGGGGCAAGCGUUGUUCGGAAUUACUGGGCGUAAAGGGUGCGUAGGCGGCUUUCUAAGUGGGAUGUGAAAACUCUGGGCUCAACCCAGAGACUGCAUCCAAAACUGGAGAGCUUGGGUUCUGGAGGGGAAAGCGGAAUUCCUGGUGUAGCGGUGAAAUGCGUAGAUAUCCGGAGGAACACCGGUGGUGUAGACGGCUUACUGGACCACGACUGACACUGAGGCACGAAAGCGUGGGUAGCAAACAGG